CCAAUCCUAAAAGCAGAGUUGUGUUCUUUUUGUUUUCAUAUAGGGAAAUUGAAACUAGAGAAAGCGGCUUCUCCAGGGUUAUACUGCUAAUCCCCUACAAGUCUAGGAUUACAACUUCUGUCACCUGACUUCCAGUCCGUUCCAUUUCCAGAGCCAUUCUGUGGGAUCCUGAAAGUUCAGCUGACACCCCACUGGGAACAUGCCUGCGCCAGCCCAGACAGGUCAAAGGACAGGAUUCCAAGCCGUUGAGAUGGUCUCUGGAGAAGCCUGGAAUUUCCCUGUGUCACAAGGGUGGCAGAAAGAGGCAGGCUUGCCAGCACCCCCGGUUCCCUUGCCAAGUGGAGCAUCUCUCAGGAUGGGAAGGGGCCCCCACCUCUUUGGUGACCCUGGCCAUCGGUUCCUGAAUGUCUGGUUUCAAGGGCCCUGAGCAGCUUGUGUCACAGGAGCAUGGAGUCAUCACAGAGUAUUUGCAUCCGAAAUACAUUUUCCUCCACAACAGUGCCCGGGUUAGAGUAAGCGAAGGCGAUUCUGUGCACUUUGGUGAAUCAGUGAUGGGUCUGUCUGCCUUUAGAUCUAUCUGACUGUUAUGUUCCCUAUGUGAUUCUCAUCAGAGAGCACUGCAGAGUUCCUGGAGAAUCCCCUAGCAGACCCUACCAGGAAAUGGGGUUCCACAGAGGUGACUGUGGUGAAUGACUAAAGACCACUCCGAGGGCAAACUUAAAAAACUGCAAGACUAAAGAGCACUUAAAAUAUAUUUUUUAUAAUUUAAAUGUAAAGCUUCCUAAAA